AUUUGGCGGACGGGUGAGUAACACGUGGGCAAUCUGCCCUUCACUCUGGGACAAGCCCUGGAAACGGGGUCUAAUACCGGAUACAACCACUGGCCGCAUGGCCUGGUGGUGGAAAGCUCCGGCGGUGAAGGAUGAGCCCGCGGCCUAUCAGCUUGUUGGUGAGGUAACGGCUCACCAAGGCGACGACGGGUAGCCGGCCUGAGAGGGCGACCGGCCACACUGGGACUGAGACACGGCCCAGACUCCUACGGGAGGCAGCAGUGGGGAAUAUUGCACAAUGGGCGCAAGCCUGAUGCAGCGACGCCGCGUGAGGGAUGACGGCCUUCGGGUUGUAACCUCUUUCAGCAGGGAAGAAGCGCAAGUGACGGUACCUGCAGAAGAAGCGCCGGCUAACUACGAGCCAGCAGCCGCGGUAAUA
rnacentral:rRNA from 1 species